AUUGAACGCUGGCGGCAGGCCUAACACAUGCAAGUCGAACGAGUGGCGGACGGGUGAGUAAUGUCUGGGAAACUGCCCGAUGGAGGGGGAUAACUACUGGAAACGGUAGCUAAUACCGCAUACCAUCGGAUGUGCCCAGAUGGGAUUAGCUAGUUGGUGAGGUAAAGGCUCACCUAGGCGACGAUCCCUAGCUGGUCUGAGAGGAUGACCAGCCACACUGGGACUGAGACACGGCCCAGACUCCUACGGGAGGCAGCAGUGGGGAAUAUUGCGCAAUGGGGGCAAGCCUGACGCAGCCAUGCCGCGUGAAUGAAGAAGGCCUUCGGGUUGUAAAGUUCUUUCGGUAGGGAGGCGUUACCUGCAGAAGAAGCACCGGCUAACUCCGUGCCAGCAGCCGCGGUAAUAC
rnacentral:rRNA from 1 species